rnacentral:SRP_RNA from 13 species
UCAGCUGGACCCGUGGCGUGGCUGAAGGGUGACUCCGGCAGAACCUGGGGCGCGGCGCUGCAAGGCCCGGAGGGGAGCAGACACAAGCCCAUAUUUGUCUCCGUUGGCCACAGGUUGUCU